rfam:Oryza meridionalis cultivar OR44 (W2112) chromosome 2, whole genome shotgun sequence.
AAUAAGUGUAGUUUUAACGCUGUUCAUGUCUAACGUUUGACCGUUCAUCUUAUUUGAAAUUUAUUGUUAUUAGAUGAUAAAAUAUGAAUAGUAUUUUACGUGUGAAUAUUUUUUUAUAAUUUUUUCAAAUAAGACGGAUGGUCAGAACGAUGAACACGGAUAUCCAUGACUGCACUUAUU